GAUGAACGCUAGCGGGAGGCUUAAUACAUGCAAGUCGAGGGGUAACGAUGGUGCUUGCACCAGGCGACGACCGGCGAACGGGUGAGUAACGCGUACACAAUCUACCUUCAAGUGGGGAAUAGCCCUGGGAAACUGGGAUUAAUGCCCCAUAGUAUUACCGAGUAAUAUGACAUGGUAAUUAAAGUUUCGACGCUUGAAGAUGGGUGUGCGUCCCAUUAGCUAGUUGGUGAGGUAACGGCUCACCAAGGCGACGAUGGGUAGGGGGCGUGAGAGCGUGGUCCCCCACACGGGUACUGAGACACGGACCCGACUCCUACGGGAGGCAGCAGUAAGGAAUAUUGGACAAUGGGCGCAAGCCUGAUCCAGCCAUCCCGCGUGUAGGAUGACUGCCCUAUGGGUUGUAAACUACUUUUAGAUAGGAAGAAACCCCCGCGUUCACGCGGGGCUGACGGUACUAUCAGAAUAAGCACCGGCUAACUCCG
rnacentral:rRNA from 1 species